UACAGAGGGUGCAAGCGUUGUUCGGAAUUAUUGGGCGUAAAGCGCGUGUAGGCGGCUUUGCAAGUCGGGUGUGAAAGCCCUCAGCUUAACUGAGGAAGUGCGCCCGAAACUGCUUGGCUUGAGUACCGGAGAGGAUGGCGGAAUUCCCCAAGUAGAGGUGAAAUUCGUAGAUAUGGGGAGGAACACCGGUGGCGAAGGCGGCCAUCUGGACGGAUACUGACGCUGAGACGCGAAAAGCGUGGGUAGCAAACAGG
rnacentral:rRNA from 1 species